rnacentral:rRNA from 1 species
ACACGGGGGGAGCAAACGUUGUUCGGAAUUACUGGGCGUAAAGGGCGCGUAGGCGGCUCGGCAAGUGGUGUGUGAAAUGCCCUGGCUCAACCAGGGAACUGCGCACCAAACUGCUGGGCUUGAGGGCAGUAGAGGAAGCUGGAAUUCCUGGUGUAGCGGUGAAAUGCGUAGAUAUCAGGAGGAACACCGUUGGCGAAGGCGAGCUUCUGGGCUGUUUCCUGACGCUGAGGCGCGAAAGCUGGGGGAGCAAACAGGAUUAGAUACCCCGGUAGUCC